AACGUAGGUGGCGAGCGUUAUCCGGAUUUACUGGGCGUAAAGCGUGUGCAGGCGGCUCUGUAAGUGGUGUAUGAAAUCGCCCGGCUUAACCGGGCUACGUUAUGCCAGACUGCGGGGCUCGAGACGAGGAGAGGGACGUGGAAUUCCGGGUGUAGUGGUGAAAUGCGUAGAGAUCCGGAGGAACCCCAGAGGCGAAGGCGGCGUCCUGGCCUCGUUCUGACGCUCAGACACGACAGCAUGGGGAG
rnacentral:rRNA from 1 species